rnacentral:rRNA from 1 species
GUGACCUGCGGAGGGAUCAUU